ensembl:Y_RNA Y_RNA Y RNA
GGUUGGGCUGAAGGUAGUGAGUUAUAUCACUUGAUUGUUCAGUCAGUUACAGAUCGAACUCCUUGUUCUACUCUUUCCCCUCUUCUCACAACUGCACUUGACUAGUCUUAA